AAAAUAAAAAUAAAAAUAAAAAUAAAAAAGAAGUAACUUAUCACAUGGACUGCACCCCUCCUUGAUUAAAGCCUCCAUGUUUUGUCAUUUUCCUCAAUAGAGCUAUAAUCUCCACCAAAUAUGCAAGAAAACUAAAGUUCAUCUCCUUUAUUCCUUCUUUAUCCAUACACCCUCUGUUUCACAUUAGUUACAGCUCAAUGAAUUAUGCGUACUAGACAAGCCAUAACCCAAAUGGAAAAUAACAAACACACUUUAGUAAGCAAAGAUGAAACGUGACUUAUUUUACAUGAAAGAGGAAUUUUUUGGAACUUGUUCUAGGCACCAAAUGAUGCUUUGAGACUGUGACUAUUGGACAAAAACCAUCAACAACAAAACACAAGGAGGCCAUGUUCAUCUAUAAAAUGAGCACAUAACAUACCAACCAAAAUGUGGAGUCCAAAUUGUAGCGAGGAUUAGGGAAUAACCUUCUUCCUCUACAUACACCAUAUAAUCCUUUAUAUUUUUUCGUUUUGCAUUGCAACGAAUACAUCAUUUUUCUUUGAAGCAAAUGCAUGGAUUAAAGGAAUAUCAUUGAACUGUACCCAAGAAACUUGACCUUACUCUAACUUUUCAGGGUUUAGGGUAGAAGGAUACAACUUAAACUUACUAUAAUUUGAUGAGGAUAAGGGAUAGAGUAUUAAUUCAUUUUCUUUUUACUGAAAACGAAAAAAAAUAUUUGUCACAUCUCAUCUUGUAGAUCAAUUUAAAAAUGUGAACUGAAAAUUGGUGUUAUUAUCCGUCCAACACAUUUUAACAAUUUAAAAAUUGAAACGAAGAUGUUGCUAUACUUACAACACAUUUUCAUGAAAUCGUGUUUAUCGGAUGUAUGGGAGGGUUGGGGAAGGAGUUGAUGUUAUGAAACAGAGAAAAGCGCAGGGUGAGGGUGAGGCUGAGGAGACUGAGCCGGAGGCAGCUGAAAAGACGGAGGAGGAAACUGGAAAGACGGAGGAGGAAGAUGAAGAAAUUGGAAAAGCUGAGGUUGUAUUUGUAUUGCAGUUAGAGGCUGUGUUUGUAUUGCAUAUAAAUAAAAUAUUUGUCACAUUUUAAACCAAUUUAAAAAAUAUGAAUAGAUAAUUAGUGUUAUUAUCGGUCCAACACAUUUUAACACAUUCAAAAUUCAUAGAUGUUGUAUUUGUAUUGUAUAUAAAUAAAAUAUAAGAUUUUGAGUUUAACAGAUAA